rnacentral:rRNA from 1 species
AUUGAACGCUGGCGGCAUGCCUUACACAUGCAAGUCGAACGGCAGCAUGGAGGAGCUUGCUCCUCUGAUGGCGAGUGGCGAACGGGUGAGUAAAGCAUCGGAACGUGCCGUGUAGUGGGGGAUAACGUAGCGAAAGUUACGCUAAUACCGCAUACGCACCGAGGUGGAAAGCAGGGGAUCGCAAGACCUUGCGCUAUACGAGCGGCCGAUGUCAGAUUAGCUAGUUGGUAGGGUAAAGGCCUACCAAGGCGACGAUCUGUAGCGGGUCUGAGAGGAUGAUCCGCCACACUGGAACUGAGACACGGCCCAGACUCCUACGGGAGGCAGCAGUGGGGAAUAUUGGACAAUGGGCGCAAGCCUGAUCCAGCAAUGCCGCGUGGGUGAAGACGGCCUGCGGGUUGUAAAGCCCUUUAAGCGGGGAGGAACGCCGGAACGCGAAUACCGUUUCGGACUGACGUUACCCGCAGAAUAAGCACCGGCUAACUCCGUG